GAAAGCCUGACGGAGCAAUACCGCGUGAGGGAGGAAGGCUCUUGGGUCGUAAACCUCUUUUCUCAGGGAAGAACACAAUGACGGUACCUGAGGAAUAAGCAUCGGCUAACUCCGUGCCAGCAGCCGCGGUAAUACGGAGGAUGCAAGCGUUAUCCGGAAUGAUUGGGCGUAAAGCGUCCGCAGGUGGCUAUGUAAGUCUGCUGUUAAAGCGUCUAGCUCAACUAGAUAAGAGCAGUGGAAACUACAAGGCUAGAGUGCGUUCGGGGCAGAGGGAAUUCCUGGUGUAGCGGUGAAAUGCGUAGAGAUCAGGAAGAACACCGGUGGCGAAG
rnacentral:rRNA from 1 species